CCUCUCGUAGCUUAGUGUUCAGAGCAAUGGUGCGUAAAACCGGGUUCGAUUCCCGGCGAGGGUG
rnacentral:tRNA from 1 species